rnacentral:rRNA from 1 species
CAGCCGCCGCGGUAAUACCGGCGGCCCGAGUGGCGGUCACUAUUAUUGGGCUUAAAGCGUCCGUAGCCGGGUUGGGAAGUCCUCCGGGAAAUCUGGCCGCUUAACGGUCAGAAUGCCGGAGGAUACUCCCAGCCUAGGGAGCGGGAGAGGCCGAGGGUAUUCCCGGAGUAGGGGGGAAAUCCUAUAAUCCCGGGAGGACCGCCUGUGGCGAAGGCGCUCGGCUGGAACGCGUCCGACGGUGAGGGACGAAGGCCAGGGGAGCAAACCGGAUUAGAUACCCGGGUAGUCCUGGCGGUAAACGAUGCGGACUUUGUGUCGGACAAGCUAUGAGCUUGUCCGGUGCCGGAGGGAAACCGUUAAGUCCGCCGCCUGGGGAGUACGGCCGCAAGGCUGAAACUUAAAGGAAUUGGCGGG